UGGAGAGCCACCUACUGAAGUAUUUUC
rnacentral:piRNA from 1 species